GGAGAGGUACCCAAGUGGUUGAAGGGGACGGUUUGCUAAAUCGUUAGGGGCGAAAGCCCGCGAGGGUUCGAAUCCCUCCCUCUCCGCCA
rnacentral:tRNA from 1 species